rnacentral:misc_RNA from 1 species
GAUGAAGAACGCAGCGAAAUGCGAUAAGUAAUGUGAAUUGCAGAAUUCAGUGAAUCAUCGAAUCUUUGAACGCACAUUGCGCCCGCCAGUAUUCUGGCGGGCAUGCCUGUCUGAGCGUCAUUAUAACCCCUCAAGCUCAGCUUGGUGUUGGGGCCUGCUGCACUGGCAGCCCUUAAAAUCAGUGGCGGCGCCAUCUGGCUCUAAGCGUAGUAAUUCUUCUCGCUAUGGAGUCCUGGUGGAUGCUUGCCAUCAACCCCCAAUUUUUCUAUGGUUGACCUCGGAUCAGGUAGGGAUACCCGCUGAACUUAAGCAUAUCAAUAAGCGGAGGA